rnacentral:rRNA from 1 species
GACGAACGCUGGCGGCGUGCCUAAUACAUGCAAGUAGAACGCUGAAGGAGGAGCUUGCUUCUCUGGAUGAGUUGCGAACGGGUGAGUAACGCGUAGGUAACCUGCCUGUUAGCGGGGGAUAACUAUUGGAAACGAUAGCUAAUACCGCAUAAUAGUAGAUGUUGCAUGACAUUUGCUUAAAAGGUGCAAUUGCAUCACUACCAGAUGGACCUGCGUUGUAUUAGCUAGUUGGUGGGGUAACGGCUCACCAAGGCGACGAUACAUAGCCGACCUGAGAGGGUGAUCGGCCAAACUGGGACUGGGACACGGCCCAGACCCCUACGGGAGGCAGCCGUAGGGAAUCUUCGGCAAUGGACGGAAGUCUGACCGAGCAACGCCGCGUGAGUGAAGAAGGUUUUCGGAUCGUAAAGCUCUGUUGUAAGAGAAGAACGAGUGUGAGAGUGGAAAGUUCACACUGUGACGGUAUCUUACCAGAAAGGGACGGCUAACUACGUG